GGUGAGUAACACGUGAGUAACCUGCCCUUGACUUUGGGAUAACUUCAGGAAACUGGGCUAAUACCGGAUAGGAGCUCCUGCUGCAUGGUGGGGGUUGGAAAGUUUCGGCGGUUGGGGAUGGACUCGCGGCUUAUCAGCUUGUUGGUGGGGUAGUGGCUUACCAAGGCUUUGACGGGUAGCCGGCCUGAGAGGGUGACCGGCCACAUUGGGACUGAGAUACGGCCCAG
rnacentral:rRNA from 1 species